rnacentral:rRNA from 1 species
CAAUAGCGUAUAUUAAAGUUGUUGCAGUUAAAAAGCUCGUAGUUGGAUUUCUGGUUGAAGCGACCGGUCGGGCGUUGAUUCGUCUGCACUGGAGUCGGUUUUGGCCAUCCUCUAGGAAAGUGCGUCUGGUAUUAAGUUAUCGGGCGUAUGAUCCUGGUCUUUUACUGUGAAAAAAUUAGAGUGUUUAAAGCAGGCCUUCGCCUUGAAUACAUUAGCAUGGAAUAAUAAGAUAGGACUUUGGUCUAUUUUGUUGGUUUGCAGACCGAAGUAGUGAUUAAUAGGGAUAGUUGGGGGUAUUUAUAUUCCGAUGUCAGAGGUGAAAUUCUUAGAUUUUCGGAAGAUAAACUUAUGCGAAAGCAUUUACCAAGGAUGUUNUCAUUAA